UUCUGACAUUUCCCGACUUCAGCGCGUAGGUUUGCAAUAUCUUAUUUAGCAUAUUGGUUUUAUAUGGAAUUACAUCUUCCUGGUAGUUGUUUCCCAUGUAAAUAACUGAAGGCUUUCACUGGGAGGUGAAGCUGUAGUUGAUGGUUUGUAUCAUGCCGUGGUCGCUGCCUGCAGCAGCAUCUACCUUCACUAUCUUUAGUGUGUUUCUGCAAGGCUCCUUUCCUAAAACAGCUUUUGCUUGAUCUGGAAGUUUGCAAAAGUUAGGCACGAGCACCUUAACUCCACUUGUGAGGUUUUUUCCUGCGGUGCUCUAAUGAUCUUGACAAAUACAUUAACCUCUGGUCUGAAAUCCUACUGCUACUCCCUUUAACUGCUAUGGCCGCAGCUGCUUGAGAUAUGCUGCAUCUUCUGUUCCUUCCAGAAUUCAUUCAAAUAUGUGCCUUCAUACAUCUUAGCAUGUCAAUGUCUCCUCAUUCAUAGCCACCCCAGUCCGUCAGAAGGCCCCACUGUGGAGUGAUCCAUUAUCCCUUGACAAUAAAGCUUUUUUUCUUCUAUUUCCAGAUGCUUGCUGUACAGUCUCUUGAUUACACCUUACUGACAUCCCCCCAAGCACCAGGCUUGCUGUUUGAUCAGAAGUCAAGAGGGAAGAGUUACUGGUUCCAGUUGCACAGCCGGUUAGCCAGACUGCAGCCCGAGGACUCCUUUGAGGCAGAGCUACCCUGCAGGGUCAGAGCUUCAGAUGCAGCUCCUGCCUAGUCUGAUGGAGUGAAAGCUGUCAAGGAUGACCAACAGCCUAAUAAACUCCUCUUUGUAUUUAACAGACAUCCAACUACGUGUUUGAGUGGGAUAAUGCUUGUGAUGUAUUUAUUUUCACUUGUAUAUAGUGCUUUCCUUUCCAUGAUGUGUUCUUGAGCACUUCAGAAACACAGCGUUAUUUUUCUCAGACAUUUUAGAGAGCAAUAAAUGUGAAUAAACAUUUUAAAUUUUCUGAAACCAAGUAAAAUAUUAUUUAAAAGGUUCUCUCAACUCUAAAAAUGAAGUGAUGCUUAUAGUUCUGAUUGCAUACAUAAAUAAAUCUGUCAUCAGCAAAUGCAAAACAAAUUAUUAUAGAGAAUCUGGUUUAAACACAACCUGUCAUAGCAAAUCUAAUUACAAACUGGUGUGUACCUAGGUUAUUUUCUACCUUCACCAGCACGUAUCUGAUCAAGAAGGAAACCAACCGGGCAGACCAGGAAAUUGUGGAAGGCCUGUGAGCUCCUUUGAGUGCUGUGUUCAAAUACAUGUCUAACCCAAUUAAACCCAAAUAAGUGGUCAAAAGGCUUUGGCAUGCUUUGCCAACAGCUUGCUUCUGUGACACAACUUAGGGUAUCUAUUUCAGUGAAGCAGUGCAGUUACUGAGAUAGACAGACACGUUAUCAGUUGCUUUUCAACCUAUUUAAAUACAUUGCCAUUACCUGCACUUAAUGUUGGGUCUUUUGCCUUAACAAGGUGACAUUAAAGCCUCAAGUCUGGAAAGAACAUAAACGUGUUUUAAGAAAAUUAUUAGUUCUGUGAUCAAAAUAAAGGGUUAUUAUGUUGGGGAGAAGAGGUGAUACUUGCUAAAAACAUGACAGCAGAUAAUGAAAAGCAGGAGGAAAAAUACCCCUUUGUUUCAAACUGCUAGGAAGAGUUUGGACAAACACAGUAUCUUCAGUUUGAAAGCUAUAUUAGGAAACAGCUAAGCCAUACAAUCGGUCAGUUUAAAUAUGCCAUGGUUUGGACUAUAUCCAUCUUCAUAUCAAGUUCAGGAGUCACGUGGAUGAGUUCAUCCUACAGUCGUGGACUAGAAAUUCUCUGUGCUGUUACACAUACCUACUUUAACUGUUAAAUUUGGGUUCUCUAAAUAGAUCUCUUAAAAAACGAAUGUUGUACUACAAAAGGCCGUACAAGCCCUGGAAACAGCAUUACCAGGUUUAGGCACAGGACACACACUGCACAGCUGCCCUACGUUGCCCCUCUUGACUGGGGGUGGGAAGGAUUGCAAGUCUUUGUGCUGAUUUAAAACUAAAGCUACAUCUGCCAAAAUCAUCGUCAUUAUAUUAGCUGCAUUAUUUGUGUGGGGACACUGAAGAUGUAGCUUUCAUGGUAGCUGCUGUAGGAGUAUGGCAUUUGCUUUCAGAGUACCUCAGCAUGACCCUGAGCCUCCCCAUCAUCCCAACAAAAUACAGGCAUUAAGGAUAUAAAACAAUUUUCCCAGCAUUAUUUAAGAAGACCUCAAGCCUCUGUGCGGGGGUGACAAGGGAGAGAAAUAAGACAUGUAAGAUGUUUUAUAAAGAUAUAUUUUAACUUCUAAGGCACUCAGGAACCAUGGUGAUGAAUCUGACACAAACUUAAAUUGCUUAGAUAUGAGCUCUGAUCCACCGGGAACUAUCCUGACAUUCAUAAAGAGCAUCAGAUGCUGAUAACUUCUAGUCAGUACCUACCUGGGCUUGAUUUAACUGGUGACAUACAGCUGAAAUCCCUUGAGACUGAUUUUCAUUUACAUGACAAGCACUGCUUUGACAGUGUAAAGUGACCUCAAGGAGAAUGAAGAUCUCGCUGUAAUCUUACGCAAUUGGGAAGUUAAAAACAGUCUCUCACCCAAAUUGCUGGGCAACUGAUGGCAAAACAAAUUCACUUUUCCCCUCCAGCACUUCCUUUUUUCCCCAUUCAGCAUUCUGGCUGAUUUUGCAGGAAGCUUAUGGUGGCUUAUACACCAUAGAGUUAAAACUAGUAAACAGAUUGCUGUUUGCUUUGUGCAUGCCAAAGGGAGCACGAAAGAUUAUUAGUUGCAGAACUCUACUGUCAGUAACAACCUUGAUCUUGCACUGGGUAUCAUUCUGUCACUGUCAGAAUCUGUCACUGUUGUAGGAAAUGUCUUGUAUUAUCUAUCAUAUUCUUGUUAGAUGUGCUGUUCACAAAUAGAGUUUGUAAUUUCAAGUUGUAAUUUCAAGUAAUUUUUACGUUCCUUAGUUUUGUACAAGUAGUUUACAAUUAUACUCGAAGUAUUUUAAAAGGGAUCCAUUUUAUAGCAAUCUGAAAAGCUUACAAUUGUAACAAUUUUAAUUAAUAUACUGACAUUUUGUUGCUGUCUAUAUAAAAGUUGCUUUUAUUUUUCAGCUGCAGUAGCAGCAGUAUCAAGGCACUGUCCUGCACUUCAGUAAUGGAAAUUUCCCAGCCUCAAAGCACACUCUGUCUUAGUCAGCUGCAAUAAAACUGAGUGAUUUCAA